ACCAGACUCCUACGGGAGGCAGCAGUGGGGAAUAUUGGGCAAUGGGCGCAAGCCUGACCCAGCAACGCCGCGUGAAGGAAGAAGGCUUUCGGGUUGUAAACUUCUUUUAUUCGGGACGAAGCAAGUGACGGUACCGAAUGAAUAAGCCACGGCUAACUACGUGCCAGCAGCCGCGGUAAUACGUAGGUGGCGAGCGUUAUCCGGAUUUACUGGGUGUAGAGGGCGUGUAGGCGGGAGUGCAAGUCAGAGGUGAAAACUAGGGGCUCAACCCAUAGCCUGCAUUUGAAACUGUACUUCUUGAGUGCUGGAGAGGCAAUCGGAAUUCCGUGUGUAGCGGUGAAAUGCGUAGAUAUACGGAGGAACACCAGUGGCGAAGGCGGAUUGCUGGACAGUAACUGACGCUGAGGCGCGAAAGCGUGGGGAGCAAACAGGAUUAGAUACCCGAGUAA
rnacentral:rRNA from 1 species